UCCCUCUCCCCCAAGUCUCGGGUGAGAUCACCACGGAGCGGCUUAGCGCGGCGCACAAGUCUCGCGAGAGAAGCGGCGGCUGGGCCCUGCAGGCGGAGGAAGUGGAAAAAGUCGCGGGAGGGUAGGGGACCGCGGAACUUCUGGUUGCUAUGACGACGGCAAAGCCCUGGAUUCCUGUCUCCUGCGGAGAGCAGAGGCUGCAAACGCAUCCGCAGACGCCUUUAUACGUACUCCAAAAUGCUAGUAAGGAUGAAGAUGAACUCUCCUCAGCCCGUGUCUUUUAACUGUAGAAACUUUUCUGAGAAAUGAAAAGAGGCUUGCUCAUGACUUGGAAGCGGUGGGCUGAGGCCUCCCAAGACCAUCUGGCUUGUUCCAUUGCCAGCCAGAGUGGAGGCGACAUUCACACGAACCCAGGAGCUGCAGGGGCGCGUGAGCUACAGCUGCCUUGUGGCAUCCAAGGAGUGCGCAACUAGUCUCACUCUGUUGCCCAGGCUGGAGUGCAGUGGCGCGAUCUCAGCUUACUUCAGCCUCCGCCUCCCGGUUUCAAGUGAAUUCUCCAGCCUCAACUUCACAAGUAGCUGGGAUUACAGGGCAUUCAAGCAGCCCUGAGGAGAGGUCCACAUGGUGAGCCACUGAGGGCCUUGCCAAGAGCCAGCACCAACGGUCCAGGUUUGGAGUGUACCACCUUGGAAGUGAAUCUUCCAGUCCAGUCAAGCCUUCAGAUGACUUCAGAACCGUCCAUGUAAGCCACUCUUGGAUUCCUGACCCACAGAAACUGUUGGAGGCAUUAUCAACAGUUUCUAACAUCACAGACAGACAAACAUGUGCCUCCUGAUUGAAAAAACAGAACAUCACCUGUAGUCUUGCCAGUGAGAUCAAACUGAAGUCCAAUUAACCUCUGGAUCCAGCUGCCAAUUUGCAGGAAAUAGAGGAGAGAAGCAUCUGUUGAACUGCACCAUGAGUAUACACUCAGCAAAGGCCAAACUGUGGAAAAUGAUACAGGUCAAACAGCCUGGAUUCUUUAACAGUAAGUGAUGUUUCUGAAGCACCAAUGAAAAUGAAGUCCUGAAGUCCUGUGCUCAAUAUGAAAUGUUGGAAGUUAGAAGAAAAAAACAAAACUUGGAUCCAAUCUCAAGGCACUUUUUGUUUAAUGGGAAGAAGUGGAUUAUUUUAAAAGCUACAAAUAAAGUUACAUAAAAGUA
rnacentral:lncRNA from 1 species